rnacentral:rRNA from 1 species
AGUGGCGAACGGGUGAGUAAAGUAUCGGAACGUGCCCAGUCGUGGGGGAUAACGUAGCGAAAGUUACGCUAAUACCGCAUACGAUCUAUGGAUGAAAGCGGGGGAUCGCAAGACCUCGCGCGAUUGGAGCGGCCGAUAUCAGAUUAGGUAGUUGGUGGGGUAAAGGCUCACCAAGCCGACGAUCUGUAGCUGGUCUGAGAGGACGACCAGCCACACUGGGACUGAGACACGGCCCAGACUCCUACGGGAGGCAGCAGUGGGGAAUUUUGGACAAUGGGCGCAAGCCUGAUCCAGCCAUGCCGCGUGCAGGAUGAAGGCCUUCGGGCUGUAAACUGCUUUUGUACGGAACGAAAAGGUUUGGCCUAAUAAGCUGAGCUCAUGACGGUACCGUAAGAAUAAGCACCGGCUAACUACGUGCCAGCAGCCGCGGUAAUACGUAGGGUGCGAGCGUUAAUCGGAAUUACUGGGCGUAAAGCGUGCGCAGGCGGUUAUGUAAGACAGAUGUGAAAUCCCCGGGCUCAACCUGGGAACUGCAUUAGUGACUGCAUAGCUGGAGUACGGCAGAGGGGGGAUGGAAUUCCGCGUGUAGCAGUGAAAUGCGUAGAUAUGCGGAGGAACACCGAUGGCGAAGCAAUCCCCUGGGCCUGUACUGACGCUCAUGCACGAAAGCGUGGG